rnacentral:tRNA from 1 species
UAUUUCUUUAAUAUAAUAAGUAUAUUUGACUUCCAAUCAAAAAGUCUGACUUUCAGAAGAAAUAA